rnacentral:Y_RNA from 1 species
GGCUGGUCCGAUGGUAGUGGGUUAUCAGAACUUAUUCACAUUAGUGUCACUAAAGUUGGUAUUUUCAACCCCCCACUGCUAAAUUUGACUGGCUUAAA